rnacentral:tRNA from 1 species
GGGGUUGUAGCUCAAGUGAUAGAGUGCUCGCCUAGCACAUGUGAGGCACUGGGUUCGAUCCUCAGCACCACA